UGCCAAUCGAUCAGACAUUCGCUUUGAAACAGCGGGCUUAGUGUCGGUUACAGGAUUUUAUUUAUCCAUAUAUCACGUCUGCACAUCCUUUAAUGUUGUAUCUGUCGCUGCGUUUGGUAGCCUAUAAUAAUCUUAUUUCUAGGCAUUUGAAGAUAUGAUACUCCACUGCUUUAGUAAAUAUACUCCAGCCCACACAAGUCUUCUCAGUUCACCGCUGUUCACGUCAUUUCAACAACUGCUACUCGAGUCUCGCUGUGAUAAUGUCCACAUCGUAAGUGGAUCAGUCACAGCUCUGCUGCUCAGUCCUGCUGUGAGUCUUGUGGAUGCAGUUGAGUGCAUCAGUGAUGAUCAGCCACCGUGGACCUUCGCCACCAUCUGCACCACAGACGAGGGUUUGAUCCCAUAUUCAGACAGAGAUGCAGAUUCAUCAUCCAGCGGUUUCCCUGCGACAACCAGCCGGACUUCACCCAGAAGAUAUCCUACACACACAACGCAGGAGAGAGAGGAACCUCACUAAGCUUACCUUUCUUGGGAAACAGCUUCAGCGCUCCUUUCUUCAGGUCACUGACCGUCUUCCGCUGCUUCUUGGAGGGGUUUAACUUAAGAAUCCUCAUCUCCCCUGCAGGUGAGAGAACAGACAAGCUAAACUUGCACAUUUUGUUUGUCUGGAUCGUGUGUGAGCGGUACGAGCUGCUUCAGGUUAUGUUAAAGUCAGAAUGGGCGUGGGCUGAAUUUAUAAUUGAGAUGGCUUUUUCCUUUUAGGUGGGUUGUCCCAAAUAGCUGUUCACAAAGACUAGCAGCAGCAGCUUAUAUGAGCCUACAAUGGUGACUUUAUCAAAAAACCACACCAACAGAUGCGUUUGGACUGUUAGGGAAGUUCCACAUCUAAUUUAGUUUCACUAUCGUUUUAAAUCGAGUUAUAAGAAAUCGCAUGGUUUACUUUUGCCACACAUUAUGUUUACACUGUAGGGUGGAUAGUUUACAUCAGCUAAACGGACAGAAAAGUAUUUAUUUUUGUCCCCCUUCCCUGUUAAUGCCCUACCUGGCCCCCUGGCAUAACUUUGCUAGACCCGCCCCUGCACAGUUACCAGCUGUCAGCUACUUAGAAAAGGAUCCUGGUGUUAUUUGUCUCCCAGAAAUAGUUCAUAACUUCCCUUCAACUCAUUCAUGUCACCUAAAAGGUAAACCUGUUUGUCCAUCACCUGUUCAGCUCUGAUGAUUCAAUAAGGACAUCUCCUGGUUUCAUCUUCAUGUUUCCCUCUCACCAGAUA
ensembl:lncRNA